rnacentral:rRNA from 1 species
AUGAAGCUGGAGCUUGCUCCAGUGGAUUAGUGGCGAACGGGUGAGUAACACGUGAGCAAUCUGCCCUUGACUCUGGGAUAACUGCGGGAAACUGUAGCUAAUACCGGAUACGACACCUUGGGGCAUCCCGAGGUGUGGAAAGAAUUUCGGUCAAGGAUGAGCUCGCGGCCUAUCAGCUUGUUGGUGAGGUAAAAGCUCACCAAGGCGACGACGGGUAGCCGGCCUGAGAGGGUGACCGGCCACACUGGAACCGAGAUACGGUCCAGACUCCUACGGGAGGCAGCAGUGGGGAAUAUUGCACAAUGGGCGCAAGCCUGAUGCAGCAACGCCGCGUGAGGGAUGAAGGCCUUCGGGUUGUAAACCUCUUUUAUCAGGGAAGAAGCGAAAGUGACGGUACCUGAAGAAAAAGCACCGGCUAACUACGUGCCAGCAGCCGCGGUAAUACGUAGGGUGCAAGCGUUGUCCGGAAUUAUUGGGCGUAAAGAGCUCGUAGGCGGUUUGUCGCGUCUGCUGUGAAAAUCCAAGGCUCAACCUUGGACCUGCAGUGGGUACGGGCAGACUAGAGUGCGGUAGGGGAGAUGGGAAUUCCUGGUGUAGCGGUGGAAUGCGCAGAUAUCAGGAGGAACACCAAUGGCGAAGGCACAUCUCUGGGCCGUAACUGACGCUGAGGAGCGAAAGCGUGGGGAGCGAACAGGAUUAGAUACCCUGNUANUCCACGCCGUAAACGGUGGGNUGCUAGUUUGUGGGCCACAUUCCACGUGGUCCGUGACGAAANUUANNACAUUAAGCACCCCGCCUGNGGAGUACGGUCGCAAGACUAAAACUCAAANGGAAUUGACGGGGGCCCGCACAANCG